CAGGUGGCUGUGCAGUGAGUGGGUUGCUCUUUGACAAUGCGGCAUUGGACUGUCUACAGUCAUAAAAUGUUAAAAUUAUAAGAUCUAGAGAUGGGAGUAGGCAAGAAGGAGUCAACCGGGAUUGGCAAGAGGAAUGUCUAGUUUUCCAGAAAAUAAUUGGGUUAGGACUGUAACUACAAGAGGACUUGACAAUGAGCCGGAUCUGAGAGGAUCACCAAAACUGAAGAGCAUACAACCAUGCCGACAACCAUCCGUGGAGAUCAGUGGACAAAGGCUGGACAAUGGGCCACACCGAAAUAAAAACGCAUGGUUCCCAAGAAAGAGCCACUGUAAUCGAUGGGGGCUCAGGGCGGUACCAUUCUGCUCAUCUGAUGAAGGUGCACAUGGAUUAGAUUCAAAUUUUGAAGACCGAGAUCGAGUCAUUGAAGGCAGACCAGCAGAAAGAGAAACAUUAUCUGAGGGCAGAGAUAUGCACGAAAGCUGAUGCAUUGGUCCAAAGCCAGGUGGCAUUGGUGGAGAAUGGUGCAUUUGAGAGGGCGAGGAUAUAGAUGGAGUCACAAUCCAUGCCAGGCACACCUGUGAGCUCUGGAACUCCACCUCCGACAGGCAGAGUCAACAUACCUGGCGGGUACAUCAGGUCGUCCGUUCACCCUGACAUUUCCAUUCCUCUUCUGACAGAACUUGACCAAGACAAAUGUGGCUUACGAGUGAACCUUUGGGAGUUCAUUAUUAAUACUGUCUCAGAAGUUUCUGUCCAUGAUUGAUGCAACCCGAAAAAGCAUUAUAGACAGAGUUAAUGAGUACUUGAGGUCACUGAGAAAGUCUGGACAUGGCCUGCUCUCCCUUAUGUAAGAAAUUAGGCACUUUCCCAUGUUUACUACAGUAUGUACUGUAGGCUAUGUUUAAUUGUCAGACUGCACAGUAGCCUAAUAAACAAAUGGGCCAGAUGUAUACAGAAUGGUGUUGUCUGCGUAGAGGUGGAUCAGGGAAUCAUCCGCAGCAGAGCAACAUCAUUGAUAUAUACAGAGAAAAGAGUCGGCCCGAGAAUUGAACCCUGUGGUACCCCCAUAGAGACGGCCAGAGGUCCGGACAGCAGGCCCUCUCAUUUGACACACUGAACUCUGUCUGCAAAGUAGUUGUUGAACCAGGCGAGGCAGUCAUUUGAGAAACCGAGGCUAUUGAGUCUGCCGAUAAGAAUACGGUGAUUGACAGAGUUGAAAGCCUUGGCCAGGUAGAUGAAGACGGCUGCACAGUACUGUCUUUUAUCGAUAGCGGUUAUGAUAUCAUUUAGUACCUUGAGCGUGGCUGAGGUGCACCCAUGACCAGCUCGGAAACCGGAUUGCACAGCAGUGAAGGUACGGUGGGAUUCGAAAUGGUCAGUGAUCUGUUUAUUAACUUGGCUUUCAAAGACUUUAGAGAGGCAGGGCAGGAU
rnacentral:lncRNA from 1 species